UACGUUAAAGCCGGUAAGUCUCUCUCUGGCUAUAUGGUGUAAUCUCAAUGAGACUUAAAGAAGUAAAAAGAGUGAAGCAGGAGGAUACAUGGUUGGAUUCGCAGGCUCGAAAUACGCAAUAAGAUCUUAUCCUGUAAAGGUCGCAGAUGGAAGCAACACAAUAACAGAUCUCACACUUGUAAUGGAGUUUCAGAAGGGAGUGCUGCAGAAUCUGUUCUGGAAGAGCUUUGGAUGCGAAUCAUGCAAAGGAGCAUCUUCUUCUGUGUGUCUGAAUCUGAACGGGACGGAUUGCGGUCCCAACAGAAAAGUGCAAAGCUAGUGGAGGCGAAGCUAAUUGCAACAUCCAAAUUCAUGUGGCGUUUUCAGGGACAGACAAGAACCUCGAGUCAUUUAACUCUUGGUACGACGUUAACAAUCCGAGGCAGUACUCGCUUACCGCCCUCUAUGCAAAUGCUGUAAAUUCUUUGAGUGGAAGACAUUUGUAAGAGAGAGAGAGAGGCACAUUGUAAUGCAACAGCUGCUAUGUAACUGAGGUUCCUAAAUAGGUCUUUUGAACUUUCAUGUCUUAACAAUGAUGAAGCAAAUAACUUACACCUCCCAAGUUUGCAGACAAAAACAACAUAUCAAUAAGAUAAAUGCAAAAGAAAGAAACACACAAAAGGUUUAUAUACAGAACCCUUCUGUCAUUGUUGUAAACAAAACCCCGCAAAUUGAUGUUUUAUACACAAGGAAGAAUAUUUAAAAGAACCCCAAAAAAGCACUAAAAAGAAAAA